rnacentral:rRNA from 1 species
CGUGUUCGAAAGGGAAACAGCCCAGACCACCAGCUAAGGUCCCAAAAUAUAUGUUAAGUGGAAAAGGAUGUGGCGUUGCCCAGACAACUAGGAUGUUGGCUUAGAAGCAGCCAUCAUUUAAAGAGUGCGUAAUAGCUCACUAGUCGAGUGACACUGCGCCGAAAAUGUACCGGGGCUAAACAUAUUACCGAAGCUGUGGAUUGUCCUUUGGACAAUGGUAGGAGAGCGUUCUAAGGGCGUUGAAGCAUGAUCGUAAGGACAUGUGGAGCGCUUAGAAGUGAGAAUGCCGGUGUGAGUAGCGAAAGACGGGUGAGAAUCCCGUCCACCGAUUGACUAAGGUUUCCAGAGGAAGGCUCGUCCGCUCUGGGUUAGUCGGGUCCUAAGCUGAGGCCGACAGGCGUAGGCGAUGGAUAACAGGUUGAUAUUCCUGUACCACCUAUAAUCGUUUUAAUCGAUGGGGGGACGCAGUAGGAUAGGCGAAGCGUGCGAUUGGAUUGCACGUCUAAGCAGUAAGGCUGAGUAUUAGGCAAAUCCGGUACUCGUUAAGGCUGAGCUGUGAUGGGGAGAAGACAUUGUGUCUUCGAGUCGUUGAUUUCACACUGCCGAGAAAAGCCUCUAGAUAGAAAAUAGGUGCCCGUACCGCAAACCGACACAGGUAGUCAAGAUGAGAAUUCUAAGGUGAGCGAGCGAACUCUCGUUAAGGAACUCGGCAAAAUGACCCCGUAACUUCGGGAGAAGGGGUGCUCUUUAGGGUUAACGCCCAGAAGAGCCGCAGUGAAUAGGCCCAAGCGACUGUUUAUCAAAAACACAGGUCUCUGCUAAACCGUAAGGUGAUGUAUAGGGGCUGACGCCUGCCCGGUGCUGGAAGGUUAAGAGGAGUGGUUAGCUUCUGCGAAGCUACGAAUCGAAGCCCCAGUAAACGGCGGCCGUAACUAUAACGGUCCUAAGGUAGCGAAAUUCCUUGUCGGGUAAGUUCCGACCCGCACGAAAGGCGUAACGAUUUGGGCACUGUCUCAACGAGAGACUCGGUGAAAUCAUAGUACCUGUGAAGAUGCAGGUUACCCGCGACAGGACGGAAAGACCCCGUGGAGCUUUACUGUAGCCUGAUAUUGAAAUUCGGCACAGCUUGUACAGGAUAGAUAGGAGCCUUUGAAACGUGAGCGCUAGCUUACGUGGAGGCGCUGGUGGGAUACUACCCUAGCUGUGUUGGCUUUCUAACCCGCACCACUUAUCGUGGUGGGAGACAGUGUCAGGCGGGCAGUUUGACUGGGGCGGUCGCCUCCUAAAAGGUACGGAGGCGCUCAAAGGUUCCCUCAGAAUGGUUGGAAAUCAUUCAUAGAGUGUAAAGGCAUAAGGGAGCUUGACUGCGAGACCUACAAGUCGAGCAGGGUCGAAAGACGGACUUAGUGAUCCGGUGGUUCCGCAUGGAAGGGCCAUCGCUCAACGGAUAAAAGCUACCCCGGGGAUAACAGGCUUAUCUCCCCCAAGAGUUCACAUCGACGGGGAGGUUUGGCACCUCGAUGUCGGCUCAUCGCAUCCUGGGGCUGUAGUCGGUCCCAAGGGUUGGGCUGUUCGCCCAUUAAAGCGGUACGCGAGCUGGGUUCAGAACGUCGUGAGACAGUUCGGUCCCUAUCCGUCGUGGGCGUAGGAAAUUUGAGAGGAGCUGUCCUUAGUACGAGAGGACCGGGAUGGACAUACCUCUGGUGUACCAGUUGUCGUGCCAACGGCAUAGCUGGGUAGCUAUGUGUGGACGGGAUAAGUGCUGAAAGCAUCUAAGCAUGAAGCCCCCCUCAAGAUGAGAUUUCCCAACUUCGGUUAUAAGAUCCCUCAAAGAUGAUGAGGUUAAUAGGUUCGAGGUGGAAGCAUGGUGACAUGUGGAGCUGACGAAUACUAAUCGAUCGAAGACUUAAUCAA